rnacentral:rRNA from 1 species
AUUGAACGCUGGCGGCAGGCCUAACACAUGCAAGUCGAGCGGAUGAAGAGAGCUUGCUCUCUGAUUUAGCGGCGGACGGGUGAGUAAUGCCAAGGAAUCUGCCUGGUAGUGGGGGAUGACGUCCGGAAACGGGCGCUAAUACCGCAUACGUCCUACGGGAGAAAGCAGGGGACCUUCGGGCCUUGCGCUAUCAGAUGAGCCUAGGUCGGAUUAGCUAGUUGGUGAGGUAAUGGCUCACCAAGGCUACGAUCCGUAACUGGUCUGAGAGGAUGAUCAGUCACACUGGAACUGAGACACGGUCCAGACUCCUACGGGAGGCAGCAGUGGGGAAUAUUGGACAAUGGGGGGAACCCUGAUCCAGCCAUGCCGCGUGUGUGAAGAAGGCCUUAUGGUUGUAAAGCACUUUAAGCGAGGAGGAGGCUCUUUUGGUUAAUACCCAAGAUGAGUGGACGUUACUCGCAGAAUAAGCACCGGCUAACUCUGUGCCAGCAGCCGCGGUAACAC